AAGACCAAAGUGGGGGACCUUCGGGCCUCAUGCCAUCAGAUGUGCCCAGAUGGGAUUAGCUAGUAGGUGGGGUAACGGCUCACCUAGGCGACGAUCCCUAGCUGGUCUGAGAGGAUGACCAGCCACACUGGAACUGAGACACGGUCCAGACUCCUACGGGAGGCAGCAGUGGGGAAUAUUGCACAAUGGGCGCAAGCCUGAUGCAGCCAUGCCGCGUGUGUGAAGAAGGCCUUCGGGUUGUAAAGCACUUUCAGCGGGGAGGAAGGCGUUAAGGUUAAUAACCUUGGCGAUUGACGUUACCCGCAGAAGAAGCACCGGCUAACUCCGUGCCAGCAGCCGCGGUAAUACGGAGGGUGCAAGCGUUAAUCGGAAUUACUGGGCGUAAAGCGCACGCAGGCGGUCUGUCAAGUCGGAUGUGAAAUCCCCGGGCUUAACCUGGGAACUGCAUUCGAAACUGGCAGGCUAGAGUCUUGUAGAGGGGGGUAGAAUUCCAGGUGUAGCGGUGAAAUGCGUAGAGAUCUGGAGGAAUACCGGUGGCGAAGGCGGCCCCCUGGACAAAGACUGACGCUCAGGUGCGAAAGCGUGGGGAGCAAACAGGAUUAGAUACCCUGGUAGUCCACGCCGUAAACGAUGUCGAUUUGGAGGUUGUGCCCUUGAGGCGUGGCUUCCGGAGCUAACGCGUUAAAUCGACCGCCUGGGGAGUACGGCCGCAAGGUUAAAACUCAAAUGAAUUGACGGGGGCCCGCACAAGCGGUGGAGCAUGUGGUUUAAUUCGAUGCAACGCGAAGAACCUUACCUGGUCUUGACAUCCACAGAACUUUCCAGAGAUGGAUUGGUGCCUUCGGGAACUGUGAGACAGGUGCUGCAUGGCUGUCGUCAGCUCGUGUUGUGAAAUGUUGGGUUAAGUCCCGCAACGAGCGCAACCC
rnacentral:rRNA from 1 species